UACGGGGGGGGCAAGCGUUGUUCGGAAUUACUGGGCGUAAAGGGCUCGUAGGCGGCCAACUAAGUCGGACGUGAAAUCCCUCGGCUUAACCGGGGAACUGCGUCCGAUACUGGAUGGCUUGAGUAUGGGAGAGGGAUGCGGAAUUCCAGGUGUAGCGGUGAAAUGCGUAGAUAUCUGGAGGAACACCGGUGGCGAAGGCGGCAUCCUGGACCAACACUGACGCUGAGGAGCGAAAGCCAGGGGAGCAAACGGG
rnacentral:rRNA from 1 species